rnacentral:rRNA from 1 species
AACAGGAUUAGAUACCCUGGUAGUCCAUGCCGUAAACGAUGUCUACUAGCCGUUGGGGUCUUUGAGACUUUAGUGGCGCAGCUAACGCGAUAAGUAGACCGCCUGGGGAGUACGGUCGCAAGACUAAAACUCAAAUGAAUUGACGGGGGCCCGCACAAGCGGUGGAGCAUGUGGUUUAAUUCGAUGCAACGCGAAGAACCUUACCUGGUCUUGACAUAGUAAGAACUUUCCAGAGAUGGAUUGGUGCCUUCGGGAGCUUACAUACAGGUGCUGCAUGGCUGUCGUCAGCUCGUGUCGUGAGAUGUUGGGUUAAGUCCCGCAACGAGCGCAACCCUUUUCCUUAUUUGCCAGCGGGUUAAGCCGGGAACUUUAAGGAUACUGCCAGUGACAAACUGGAGGAAGGCGGGGACGACGUCAAGUCAUCAUGGCCCUUACGACCAGGGCUACACACGUGCUACAAUGGUCGGUACAAAGGGUUGCUACCUAGCGAUAGGAUGCUAAUCUCAAAAAGCCGAUCGUAGUCCGGAUUGGAGUCUGCAACUCGACUCCAUGAAGUCGGAAUCGCUAGUGAUCGCGGAUCAGAAUGCCGCGGUGAAUACGUUCCCGGGCCUUGUACACACCGCCCGUCACACCAUGGGAGUUUGUUGCACCAGAAGUAGGUAGUCUAACCGCAAGGAGGACGCUUACCACGGUGUGGCCGAUGACUGGGGUGAAGUCGUAACAAGGUAACC